rnacentral:rRNA from 1 species
GGUAAGCCCGUGCGAGCGCGCAGGGUAAGAAGGAGGUGGGAGAGCGGAAUAGGAAAAACUGGGAGGAAGGGUAACGCGGGCGGUUAGAUAAGUCAGAGGGGAAAUGCCCGGGCUCAACCGGGGAACUGCAUUUGAAACUGUCUGAAUAGAGGCUUGUAGAGGGGGGUAGAAUUCCAGGUGUAGCGGUGAAAUGCGUAGAGAUCUGGAGGAAUACCGGUGGCGAAGGCGGCCCCCUGGACAGAGACUGACGCUCAGGUGCGAAAGCGUGGGGAGCAAACAGGAUUAGAUACCCUGGUAGUC